AAACUUGAGAGUUUGAUCAUGGCUCAGAAUGAACGCUGGCGGCAUGCCUAACACAUGCAAGUCGAACGAAGGCUUCGGCCUUAGUGGCGCACGGGUGCGUAACGCGUGGGAAUCUGCCCCUUGGUUCGGAAUAACAGUUGGAAACGACUGCUAAUACCGGAUGAUGACGUAAGUCCAAAGAUUUAUCGCCGAGGGAUGAGCCCGCGUAAGAUUAGCUAGUUGGUGUGGUAAAGGCGCACCAAGGCGACGAUCUUUAGCUGGUCUGAGAGGAUGAUCAGCCACACUGGGACUGAGACAC
rnacentral:rRNA from 1 species